rnacentral:rRNA from 1 species
CCUACGGGUGGCAGCAGUGAGGAAUAUUGGUCAAUGGACGCGAGUCUGAACCAGCCAAGCCGCGUGCAGGAUGACGGCUCUAUGAGUUGUAAACUUCUUUUGUACGAGGGUAAACGCAGGUACGCGUACCUGUCUGAAAGUACCGUACGAAUAAGGAUCGGCUAACUCCGUGCCAGCAGCCGCGGUAAUACGGAGGAUUCAAGCGUUAUCCGGAUUUAUUGGGUUUAAAGGGUGCGUAGGCGGUCGGUUAAGUUAGAGGUGAAAUCCCGAGGCUCAACCGCGGAAUUGCCUGUGAUACUGGGCGGCUCGAGAGUAGUAGAGGUAGGCGGAAUGUGUGGUGUAGCGGUGAAAUGCAUAGAGAUCAUGCAGAACACCGAUUGCGAAGGCAGCUUACCAGGCUACCUCUGACGUUGAGGCACGAAAGUGUGGGGAGCAAACAGGAUUAGAUACCCCAGUAGUC